rnacentral:lncRNA from 1 species
GGGACACCCACCAGACACUGCUAUGGCAGGCCUCGGGUUCGAAGCUUCUCUAGGGUCAGAAGGGAAUUAGGGUUUGAGCGACAGCAGAUGGGUUAGGAGGGAGUUUCUGAAACUCCUAGAGAGGCGUAGGGAAAUAGGCGUAGGGUUUGGGAAAUACUCGAACCCGCGGAGGGUUUUUCCAAACUUGUUCUUUGCUAUAUGCUCUUUUCCCUGCCUUCCUCUUCCUCCCACGACUCCAGCCCCAACCCUGGAAGAUCCCUAAGGACUAGGGUACAUGCCGCCUCAACCCUUCUUCCCUGUUCUCCUUCCUCAAGUUUCCAGAGACAGAAAAUACAAAUAAACCCCGGUUGGUUACUGCGGGUGCAUCUAGGUACCCCACCCCCAAACAGACACAGACACACACGCACGCGCGCACACACCACACACACACACACACACACACACACACACACCCUCACCACCCGCUGUGACCCACCCACCACCGGGUAGGGGAGGGAUUGGGAACCUGAUCUCCGGGCUCCUGCCCCGAACGUUUCCCCAUCAAUAACGUUGAUACCAUCGAUGCUCCUCCUCCCCCGCCCUCCCGGGGGCCGCUGCCGCCUUUUUGCCGCUUUUUGCUAGGCGCAGGAAAAUGAAACCUCCUAUACAGCUCUCCUGGCCUCGGUGGGGGGCCAGCGGGGCCUGGGCCCGAGACUUAGGAAGCUGGGUCGCCGGUAGGGCGCUUGUGGGGGGAGGCAGGGGGGACGUUCCCCAGGUCUGGGGUAGGGGGCCCGUCCUGCGAGGGUGAGACGGGAAAGAGGGUCUGGGUCCCAAGCAAGGCCUCAUCCCAUGCCUGAGGUCAGACUGGGCCUGAGUAAGUGAAGGGAUGCAGGUAGAAGCAUCAGACUUCGGAUUGGGGUGCCUCCAGGCGCUGUCCGCUUCCCAGGACUGACAACUGAACGAAGUCCCCAAACCCUUUCUCUAGGAAUGCGUCUGGGGCCUGGAGCACAGCCCUUGGGCCCUGACAACGCACCAAGGACACUCCAGGUCUUGGGAAAACUGAGGCGGACAUAUGGGUAGAAAGACAUCAAACCCCCAGGAUGGGAGUCUGCAGAACGGCCGAACGCCUCCCCCGGGUGUGGUUCCCCUCGGUCCUCGAGGUCGCGACCCUGGCGCAGCUGCUGCAUUUCUUCGGGCCACCCCGAUUCUCUAUCGCGAAUCAUCCCUUAAGUACUCGCCCUCUAGAGGAACCCGCAAGUCCCAACUUCUUCCUCCCAAUUCCCACAGCAGCUGUCCCCAUUCAGGGGCUGGGAGGGCGCAACCCCAGGGAGGGCGCUUAGGUCUUUGGAGAAACUGGACGUAGCGGCAAUUAUCGCUGUGGCACCUAACUCGCACUCGCUGCUUUCUUCCGAACCUCUCAAAAAAUAAAAAUCACCCCUACUGUCUUCGUUUUUUAUUGAUUUCAUUAUUUCUUAACAUCGUGGCACGCGGAUCGUCGCCAGCUCCCUGACACUGAAGCGCCCGCAUAAGCGAACCACGGAACUUGGGCCGGAGACAAUGGCCCGUAAUUGAUGUAUUGCCACCAACAAUAAAGACCAAUUCUCCUCUCCCCGCCAUUCCGUCCGUCCCCUUCCUCCCAUCCCCCCUCUCCUCCGCCUCCCCUCUCCUUUCCCGGCCACAGAGGGAAAGAAAACAAACAAGAAAUUAGCUGGGGACGCCGAGCGUAGAGCGAGACGCCUGCCUCUACGCCGUCGAGGACGCAAAAGAACGAAAAAAGUUAUUAAAGUUUGGAUUCCCCAAUUAAUUCGUCUCUGAGCUCCCAUUUUUAAUUAAACAGCGCGAAAC